GACGUAGGGCGCGAGCGUUGUCCGGAUUUCUUGGGCGUAAAGAGCUCGUAGGCGGCUUGUCGCGUCGACUGUGAAAACCCGCGGCUCAACCGUGUGGUCUGCAGUCGAUACGGGCAGGCUAGAGUUCGGUAGGGGAGACUGGAAUUCCUGGUGUAGCGAGGAAAUGCGCAGAUAUCAGGAGGAACACCGGUGGCGAAGGCGGGUCUCUGGGCCGAUACUGACGCUGAGGAGCGAAAGCGUGGGGAGCGAACAGG
rnacentral:rRNA from 1 species